CCUGGCUACACUCUCACCACCCUGAAUGCGCCUGAUCUCAUCUGAUCCCAAAAGCUAAGCAGGGCUGGGCCUGGCUAGUACUCACUCGAGUGGGAGGAAAUAAAGUUGCCUGGA
ensembl:rRNA 5S_rRNA 5S ribosomal RNA